rnacentral:rRNA from 1 species
GAUGAACGCUAGCUACAGGCUUAACACAUGCAAGUCGAGGGGUAACGAGAGGAAAGCUUGCUUUCCUUGUCGACGACCGGCGCACGGGUGAGUAACGCGUAUCCAACCUGCCCCCAACUAGGGAAUAACCUUGCGAAAGUAAGACUAAUACCCUAUAAUUUCCUCAGAUGACAUCUGACGAGGAAUAAAGAUUUAUCGGUUGUGGAUGGGGAUGCGUCUGAUUAGCUUGUUGGCGGGGUAACGGCCCACCAAGGCAACGAUCAGUAGGGGUUCUGAGAGGAGGGUACCCCAAAUUGGAACUGGGACACGGUCCAAACUCCUACGGGAGGCAGCAGUGAGGAAUAUUGGUCAAUGGGCGGAAGCCUGAACCAGCCAAGUAGCGUGCAGGAUGACGGCCCUAUGGGUUGUAAACUGCUUUUAUACAGGAAUAAAGUUAGCCACGUGUGGUUAUUUGUAGGUACUGUAUGAAUAAGGACCGGCUAAUUCCGUGCCAGCCGCCGCCGUAA